rnacentral:rRNA from 1 species
AACGAACGCUGGCAGCAUGCCUAACACAUGCAAGUCGAACGAGACCUUCGGGUCUAGUGGCGCACGGGUGCGUAACGCGUGGGAACCUGCCCUUAGGUUCGGAAUAACUCCCCGAAAGGGGUGCUAAUACCGGAUAAUGUCUUCGGACCAAAGAUUUAUCGCCUUUGGAUGGGCCCGCGUUGGAUUAGCUAGUUGGUAGGGUAAAAGCCUACCAAGGCGACGAUCCAUAGCUGGUCUGAGAGGAUGAUCAGCCACACUGGGACUGAGACACGGCCCAGACUCCUACGGGAGGCAGCAGUGGGGAAUAUUGGACAAUGGGCGAAGGCCUGAUCCAGCAAUGCCGCGUGAGUGAUGAAGGCCUUAGGGUUGUAAAGCUCUUUUACCCGGGAUGAUAAUGACAGUACCGGGAGAAUAAGCUCCGGCUAACUCCGUG